CCCUUUGGCGAGCUUUCCCCUCCCCCCGCGGCCGCGCGCAGCGCCCUCCUCCCGCGCCGCGCGAGGAGACGGGGCCGGGCGGGCGGGGAGAGAGAGACCCGCCGCGGCAGGGACGCCGGGGAGAAGCCCGGAGGGAAGGAAGAAAGGGGCAGACACACAUGCGGGCGGAGGACUAAACCCAGGCGUGGGGCUGCGGAGGAAGAGCUGGUGCCGCUUGUUAUAAAGGGGGAGGAGGCGGCGGCGGCGGGGGGAAGGAAGAGCGUGUGGAGCGGAGCCUCCUCUAGAGACAGCCAGACACAGAGGGAGGAGAGCGCGCCUGCCUGCCUGGCGUCCCCCUUCCUCCCUCCUUCCCUUUCAUGGACUCUCUCGCUGGGCUGCCGCGGCUUUUCUUCCCUCCUCACUCCGUCUCGCGAGUCCCCAAAAUGAUUCAGCUCCAUGGCUGCCACUGACGGGGAUGUCCCUGCCCGGCUCAGCCUGCCGCUGCCGCCCUGCCGUGUGCCGGUGCUCCUGACUCAGCUGCAGACAUUAGUGCUAGGAAGAUGGCGCACCCGGCAAUGUUCCCUAGAAGGGGCAGCAGCAGUAGCAGCGGCAGCAGCUGUGUUACUGCUCCCAACGCGCCAGGUACCGGUGUCGGGAGCGGUGCCCUCGCCGCCGAGGAUUAUCAGCCGCCUCUGCUGGUCCAGCCGAUGCCUCCGUCUCCUGCAGUAUCUUCAUCGGCAGGUCCACAGCCGACACCCCCUCCUCCACAAAGCCUGAACCUCCUCUCGCAGUCUCAGCUCCAGCCACAGCCUCUGGCACAGACUGGAGCUCAAAUGAAAAAGAAAAGUGGCUUCCAAAUUACCAGUGUGACCCCUGCUCAAAUAUCGGCCAGUAUGAGCUCUAAUAACAGCAUAGCUGAGGAUACGGAAAGCUAUGAUGACCUGGAUGAGUCCCACACUGAAGACCUGUCUUCUUCAGAAAUCCUGGAUGUUUCUUUAUCCAGGGCCACUGACUUGGGAGAACCGGAGCGGAGCUCCUCUGAAGAGACUUUAAAUAACUUCCAAGAGGCAGAGACUCCUGGGGCUGUUUCUCCAAACCAGCCUCAUCUUCCACAGCAGCACCCUUCUCUGCCACACCAUCCACAGCAGAGUGUUGUGAUCAAUGGAAAUGUUCACCCCCAUCACGUUCACCAUCACCACCAUCUUCACCACCACCAUCAUGGACACCAUCAUCCAUCGCAUCCUGGGGUGGGCACUACGCCAGUUUCUGGAGGACCACCACCCAGUCCAUCAUUUAGAAAACUCUCAACAACUGGAAGCUCUGACAAUGUUAUAUCAACUGCACCAGUUUCUGCUGCAUCAUCCACUGGUUCCCCUGCAUCUGUCCUGUCUAAUAUCCGCACUACAAGUACUCCUGGCAGUUUAGGUGCAAGUCCUGCUGCCGGAACUAGUACCUUAAGUAAUAUAAGUGGUGGUAGUUCUAGUGUGGCAAGCAGCAUGCUUGGUACUGUAAAUUUAAGUAACAUCCCAAGUACUGGUAAUGUAAAUGCUUUGUCUGGAACUAGCAGCAAUGUUAAUGUGAAUAUCCUGAGUGGUGUUGGCAAUGGUACGAGUGCUUCCUCUAAUGUCAUUAACAAUGUUACUAAUCCAGCUGCAGGAAUGGCGGUGGGAUCAAGCCAGCAGCAGCCUGCAGCUGGCACAUCAAGGUUUAGAGUUGUAAAAUUAGAUUCUAGUUCUGAACCUUUCAAAAAAGGUAGAUGGACAUGCACUGAAUUCUAUGAUAAAGAAAACACUGUUGCAGUUACAGAAGGAGUAGCAGUAAACAAAGCUGUAGAGACGAUAAAACAAAACCCGCUUGAAGUGACUUCUGAAAGGGAGAGCACCAGUGGGAGUUCUGUUAGCAGCAAUGUAAGCACACUGAGUCACUAUACAGAAAGUGUGGGAAGCGGAGAAAUGGGAGCACCUACUGUGGUACAGCAGCAAGCGUUUCAAGGUGUGGGUCCACAGCAGAUGGAUUUUAGCAGUGCUGCUCCUCCGGCAAUUCCAGCAUCUAGUAUACCACAGAGUGUUUCUCAAUCACAGCUCGCACAAGUACAGCUGCAUUCUCAAGAAGUCAGCUAUCCACAGCAGAAGCAAGGGGUCCAACCUCCUGCACAGGCCAGUCUAACCACUGUUACUGGGGUUCAGCCAGCCCCAGUUAAUAUACUAGGUGUAUCCCCAUCUCUGGGCCACCAACAACCUGCCAUUCAAAGUAUGGCUCAACAGCAGCUCCCGUAUUCUCAGGCAGCACAGCCUGUACAGACGUUGCCAGUUGUACAACAGCAGCAGUUGCAGUAUGGACAACAGCAGCAGCAACAAACAGUUCCGACACAGAUGACCGUAGGUCACGUGAAACCAGUGAACCAAAACUCUGUUACAGGGGCUAUGCCAGACUACAUUCAACAUCAGCAGAUCCUUCAGACUCCAGCACCUGCCAUGCAGCCUGGUUCUGCAGGAGUGGGAGCAGGCGCACCGGUUCCCCUUGCCCAGGCGCCGAGCAUGCAGCCUUCAGUACAAGCACAUCCCGCUGCUGCCCCGGCUCAGCCUGUUGCACACGCUCCGGCAUCGAUACCUGGCGUAGGUACUGGUGGUCAAAUGCUCGGUGUUGGGCAGCAAGGAAGUGUAGCCACUGUGGUGCAACCACCUUCUGCUGCAAACCAAAUUCCACCCCCAGUUAUGCCGUCAGCAGCUGCUCCUCCAUCUUCACAAGUAGUGCAGCCUGUGCAGGCAGGAAUAAUGCAGCAGGGAUUACAGGCUAGCGCUUCAGGCCUUCCUCAGCAAAUGGUCAUUGCUCAACAAAAUACUUUGUUACCUGUACAGCCACAGGCCCAAGCAGUGGAGUCUGUAGUCCAAGGAAUGACCAGCCAGCAGCUGCCUGCCGUUAGCCCUAUACCUUCUGCCAGUACUGUUCCUGCACCAAGUCAAGCUAGUACAGCUGUACCUCCUGGCAUACCUUCUGCUUCUCUAGGUUUGGGACAGCCUCAGAGCAUAGCGCAAGCUUCGGCAGUGCAGAAUGGGAAUUUGGCUCAAAGUGUUAGUCAGCCUCCGUUGAUAUCAACGAGUAUAGGUAUGUCGGUAGCACAGAGUAUGCCACAGCAGAUACCAGUAAGCUCUACCCAGUUCCCUGCACAAUCAGUAGCUCAGUCAAUUGUAAGCCAAAUCGAAGAUGGCAGACGUCCUACAGAACCUUCCUUAGCUGGUUUACCUCAAGCUGCCGGUGGUGACAGCAGUGUUGGAGCAUCAGCUGUUUCGGACGGCAGUGGUAGCAGCAUGCCAUCCUCUGCUUCCCUAUUUCCACUGAAGGUACUGCCAUUGACCUCACAUCUUGUUGAUGGUGAGGAUGAGAGGCAGCAACCUGCAAGUUUCUGGACAGCUGUCAACCUAUGCAGGCACUGGAAUUUCUUCCAGAGGAAGCUGCAGCCGUGUAUGCAUAGAUGAGGCACAUGGGUGUGGAAACGCAUGUGCAUUGGACUUGCUGUAUGCUCCAAGAUACAGAAUGACAGUCAAACAUUGCACACUGGUAUGCCUGUGAAGAGGCACUGCCAAAGUUAAUUGUGUCUAGUGCAAAAGCUGGGAGUUCUGGCUGAUCAAAGCAGGUAGGUGAAGGUGCUUGCACGGAGAAGUGUUACAGGGCCAACUUCCUGUAAACACAGUUCAACUUAAGCAGAGCCAAAUGGUACAUUUGAGAUAGUCUUUACCUCCGCUGAUAUGUGCGUGUUUUAUCAUAAAAACUUGUGGUCGUCUUAUUCCAAGACACAUUUGGAGAGAAUUAUACAAUUUAAAUUUGAUACUAAAAUAUAGAUGCAUCUGGGGUUCUAGUCUGGUAAGGGAAGAAUUAAGUCAGCAAACCUUCAGAAAGCAUUUAAUUAGCUAAUUAAAUACAGCAGUAGAAUAAUUUGUGGUGUUAGCUGUAGAAAAUAAUCCAGAAUGUGUUUUUCAUGUACUGUUAGCACUUAUUAGGUAAAAAUAACCAAAAAUUCUUAUUUUGGUUCUAUUAUCAAACAUAACUAUCUGCACAUGGAACUCUGCUGCUUGGAUCUUGAACCUAAAAGCCAGGCCCCCUGCUGUAGGGGUAUGAUGGUAUGCCUACACAUUGUUUGCAAGUCAGGACCUUAAAUUGGUUCCUGUCUCCAUUGUCACCAGUUCCUGUUAGACAAAAAUAACCCUUAGCUAUGUCACCCUACUUUGAAAUGCUGGAGAGCUAACAUGGCUUACAGUAGUGUUUAACAUCAGUCUGUGCCCGAGCAGUAAGAGUAAAUUACUGGGGAGCUGAGUCCAGUUUUGUCUGUAGAGCUCUUAUUGCUGCAGAAAAGGAGAAAAGAAUCAAGCCAGUAGGUCAGAUUACAGGCUAAGCGUGUAAGGUCGAGAGUUGGAAAGUUCUUUCAACGUAAAAGAUACGGGAAUUAUUUGAUAUGGGAAUUAACAUUCUAAACCUCUGGAUUCUGAAAUGCAUGUUUUGAGUACUUUUUAAAAUAAAACGUUUUUAAACAGAAGACUCUAAAAAAGCAGAUUUUGUUCAGCCUUUUUUUUUCAGUGCAUCCAUGUAACUUCAUUAACAUAUUAAAUAUUUAUUUUUAAGCAAAUAUUUGUAUGAAAUGGAUGGUUUUGCUGUAUUUGAGCUCUUCAGAGAUCCCAGGCACCAAAGGGGAGCCAUGAAGGAGAAGAACAAGCCUCUCCUUCUCAAAAGAGAAAAGUCUUAGAGGUAUUUUCACCUGAAAAUUCAGUUCGAAAGAAUGCAGGCAUCCAGUCUGAUGUGGCUGUUGAGCAGUAUUGGAAUAAUUUCUCCCAACAUUGCUUAUCUGUAGUAUCUCAACUUCCAGGUUUCUACAGAUAGACUGGCUGAAACACUCUGACCAGGGAAGUGUAGGAAAUGAUGCUUUAAAAAACAAAACAGAAAGUGUAAGGUAAACUUAUAUAAGCUAAUCACAUGUAAAUGGCAUCAAAUUAAAUCAAAUAAAACACUUAUUAAGAGCCAAAAAGGAAAAUACAAGGUCAUUGUUAGUAUGAAGGAAUCAAGUUUUCUGCAACUUAUUUCAAAAAAUUCAGAGUAUAUGUAAAUACUGCAGCGUUGAUCACUGUAGUAUUUAUGGCUUUCUCUAAAAAAUCAGGAAAACUAUUUCUUAAAAAUCUUGGCUCUUUUUUAUGUCAGUUCAUACAUUCUGCCCAGUAGUUGAAAGCAUAGAAUUUUCUGAAAGCUAAAUGAAGGUUUGUCUUUGACAGAAUUUUAUAUUAGUGCUGAUCUAAAAUAUUUCUCAAAUGGACAUUACUGUGACAGCUCUACAUAGUUUUGGAAUUUUCUGUCACGCUGAGUUCAGAAAAGCCUAGAGUAGUUUUUGUCUGUUCUUUAACUGGAAAUAGGAAGGGUCUUUCAGGUUUUGAUAGUUACCAGUCUCAUAGGUAUUGUUUGACCCCUUCUUUGAUAAUCUAGACAACACUGUGGCUCUUACUGGUGUGCAGUGGACCUUAAAGAAGUUGAGCAAAAAACUUUGCUGGAGAGCUGCCAAAUGCUUUAAAUCAAGUUCUGAAAUUCAGAAAGUCAAGAUUCAUGUCAUCUGAGUUGUUUGCAAGGUUAGCUGCUUUUAAUGAUGGGUUGCAUGACAUCUGAUCUCUUAAAAUCAACACUUUGAUCAGUUGUUUUGCUUCCUCUUCUUCCCGAGGUCGAUAAUGUUUUCUUUUGUAGCUGUUGUAAUGUUCAAUGGCUGCUUCUUUUCCAUCCCCUGAAAAUCUGGAAGUUUGGGGAAAUUUUUUUAAAUUUUUCUUAAACAGUGUCAGUAGCUUCUGGAAUGUAAGCAAACAGCCAUACAUCUCUCUUGUUGCUGCUUGAAUGUGCAUGUUUUAUUGGUGCUAGCUUCCAGGAGAAUGUUACUUUACAACAAGAACAAAUUUUAGUAAUGUUUAUUUUGAAUAACUGUUCAGUCGAAUGAUGUUGCAUAGAUGGGUUUUCAGCCUGCGCGUAUUUUGAGAGGUAUGACUAAACCAAUGAAUGGCAACGGGGCAACAACUACUCCUUAAUCUAGUACAAGUUCUAUUUUAGCAGCUAUAGAUGCUCCAUAUGGCCUGUAGCACUUUAAAACUAAAAUAACUCCAUGAUGAUUUAAAAUUUCUGUCUGAGAAAGAAUUGAUCGAGUUGCAGAUACCUUGAAUCAUAUGGGAGAGAGUACUUUUUGUUUGUGCUCUUUCACUGAGAUCCUGCAGUAGUGUUACAGACACCCGAUCUGCAGUAUUAUAGCAAGUAAAAAAGAAAGUAUUGCUGCUUAUACUCUACAGCACUUACCAAAUACUUGGAUUCAGUUUUUUGCUUAUUUUGCAGAUGGUCUUCCACAGGAUUUGCUCACAAUUGUUUAAACUUUUCUUUGAUGGCUAUUGAGCAAAACCACAGUGAUGCAGAAAAAUGGGGAUCACUCUUCAAUCUCUCUUGAAUUAUUGAGUGGCAGUGAUACCUGCCAUGCAGAGAGCAUGGAAAAAGCACUAAAGGGAGCUCUGCUCCCAGGGUCUCUUAUCAACAGUCAGUUCACUAUGGAAAAGACACUACAGGGAUUCCUUUCUUCACCCAAAGAAGAUCAGAACAUUGAUUAUAGGAUUCUUUACCAUCUUCUGUGUGCUCCACAAACAAAGCUAUUGGUGCCUUUCCCGAAUUCAUCUCGACUUGAAGAUCGUCUACACGUGUUGUUCUUGUGUCACCACAGCCAGAACUUCUCCCUGCUCCAUCUAGAAGGAUCCCAUCACAGCCUGCACCUGAGGUAAAAUGGCAAAGUCUGUAUGGUGACAGAGGAGCUGUUGUGUGUUCAACUCCUUAAGCUGGCCUGACAUCCCGUCUCAGUAAUGUGAACCUCUUCUGGUGUUUGAUACAAGGCAAGCAAAGACCACUCCUGAAACUCUCAUAAGAGGGGUUUAGGUACUUGGGAUGAUCUUUUGAGAUCUCUUUUCCAUUAUUCUAAAUCUUAGAAGAGCAGAGGAAGUACUUUCUAGCACUUCUCUCAAAAUGCAGAAAGAUGUAGUCGUUUCAAGCCUGAGCUGCAUAUCCAUGUAUAGGAAUCUAGGUAUCAAAAAUACUAGCUUGACAGAACACAAACAUCACAAGCUUUGCUCAUUCUUUUGAGUUAAGGGCAAGUCUGUACAAAGGAAGAAGGAUGUAUGAAAGGAUAAAAAUUGGAAGUAAAGGGUUCUCGAUUUCUUGGAAAAAGAGGAAAUAUUCUGACCUAGAUGUAAGAAAAGGGAGACUUUAUAAAGAAGUUAUUCCUAACUGCAUGCUUCAGAAUGAUCUUCCAGAAACAGUUCUGUUGUCAAUCCAUUUUCCCAAGGAAAACAGCAAUGGACAAAGUCCUCCUAAGAGCUUUUUUCUUCUUAAGUUUUAUUUUGGAACUUUGUCUGUUCUACUGAACUGCUACUUGAGUCCAGUAAAACCAACCAAUAUUCUUUGCCCCGCAGCCUGAAUAGGUGGGAAUUCACGAUUUCAUAUGAUGUGUUAUAGUGAAGGUGGUCUGGAAUCUUUUUUCCAGUGAAUAACGAUGUUUCCCCAGUGAUUGAGGAUGUCUCAAAGGGAGCCUUUUCUUGACAUGAGAGAGGGGCUCAGCCAGGUUACUGUUUGAAAGGAACCUACAAGAAGCUGGGUCAUGCUGUUUCACCUGGGUUGACUUGUUCUGAUGUGUCCUAUUGCUUGGAGCUGGAAAAGAAUAUCAACUUUGGAAGCAUUAAUAGAGUCUGCAGACUUCAGCAGCUGUCACCUGAAAUUAAGCCUAUAAUGCUUUGUGUGACAUCGUAGCUAUGCGAAGUGUAUUUGUGAAUAAUGUGUAUUAACAGCUUGAAUAGUCGCUGAGAGUCAAAGUAUCUGCAAAUUAUCUAGUAAGAAAGAACCUUCUGUUCACAAGAGAAUCCAAGAAGAAACAUGCUUUAAACUAUUUUGUCCUUUUAUGAUAGUUUUCUAGCCAGCAAGUAGACACAAGUAGAAAUUCUUUCCUUGAACGUGUUCUAUUACAUCUUUUUCUUCUUUCAUUUUUAUCUUGUAUGAUCUGCCUUACUGGAAGAGCAUCAGCAUCAUCUUAGAGUCAUCUGUUGGCUAAUGACAUUUAUGUGUGUGUUGGUCAGCUAUUAUUCUUUCUGAACAGAGCAGACUCUCUUCAACAAAAGCAUGCAUAUGGGUCCAGAAGACUGAACCUGGCUCUCUAACUUUUUAAAAGUUGAUUUUAAAUAAUAAAAAGGUGAUGCUUUGCCAAAUUGAAAGGAGUAGCAAUACCUCUUGCUCUGGGUUGCUGAAAUGGAAAUAACCUUGGCAAAAGCCAUGAAGCUUCACUAAAAAUUAAUGCUCAAAUUUCUAUGAAGUAGUCUUGCUAUUUAGAGCAAAAAUUCUUAAUUAAAAUUAAAAUACCUUCACCAUAUUCAGUGUCCUCAGAGGAACCAAGAAGCAAAGUAGCUUUCUGCAUGGGCAAGUGAAGAAGUUUCUUUGGAACCAACAUGCUGAGAUCAUUCUCCCCCUGCCCCCCAUUAGCUUAGGAUAUCAAGUUCUGUCCUUGAUGGCCUUAUCUGUCACCUAUUUGAAAUCAUAGGGAAACUUUCCUGUCUAAUACUGUAACUGCAGAAAUUAAAGAUGCAUAUAUAUAUAUAUAUAUUUUUUUUUUAAUAAGUCAUUGCGGUAGUUUUAAUGACAAAACCUAGCUUUUGUUCCAUCUUCUUGCAUUAUUUGGAGCAGAAUGAAAGGAAGUUUCUUUGGGGUAGGUGUAGGGCAACAAGCUUAUGAUGAAGGAUGCUCCAAGUUCUUAACUUUAUAAAGAUGUUUUGGCUAGGUGUUUGCUCUAAAAGAGAGGAGAAGAAAAAAUACCAGAAUUGCCCGAAAAUGAAUUAAGUGAAAUUGCAUCAAACAUAAAAGGCAAAUAAAUAGUGCACAUUCUUGGUUAACUCUUGGAUCAUACUCUGCCUGGUGUCUUACUGAGAGCAGUAAACAGCAUUGUAGAUAAAAUAACCGCACCUCAUCUGAGGCACAUAGCUCAGCAGCUGCCCCAUAUGCAAACUCUAGACACUGUUGCUGUUGUGCAAAAGAGAUUGCCAUGAAUAAAAACCCAGUAAAUAUUAUAAAUGAGAGGCUGUGCAUAUGCAUGUAUUUUUAGUACUGUGACUUUUCCUAUCCUAUUUUGUUGCAUCUUGGCUCCAUGCUACUGAUAAAAUUUCACCAAAGUCUAUCAGCUUUCAGGAUUAAUGAGGAGGAAGACUUCUGCUUUCUUAAGCAUUGGGUGGUGGUGGUUGUUAUUGAAGUAGUAAAAAUUAACUCCUAGGAGGUCUAGGUCCUCUAGAUAAAGGAGGAAUAUUCUAGAAAUCCAAAAACCUGAUCCAGGAAUGUGGAUAGGUUCUUAACUUCCCCAGCUAACAUACCUGUGCCUUAUAUUAAGAGACUGUGAAAAGAUAACUAAACUGCUGUUGUUGUGUGUUUGAUUUUGCAAGUAGAGUAGAAGACUUGAAAUUGGAUUUAGGCCUCUACAGAGAAGUUGGGGAUGGGGUUAGGAAGUCAGUGGAAAGGGAAACCUUCAGGUAAGUGUGAUCAUUUCUUCUUAAGUUGACUUGUCUAGGGGUAUGGGGAGAUGUUCACUGUAUUGCAAUAAAUACCAUUUUCAAUUUUCUUGAUAGAAAGUGGACAAAGAUUUGGAAAUUUUUUUCUUCCAGAAAUGAGCCCAUAAAUCUUUUUCCACCUACAUCUACUUGGAACAGACUGUAAGAGAACUUUCUGGACAAAACAUCUUAUGAUUGGUCUCAUCUAUUAUAGAUAUCAUAAGUGUCUUGAAAGUUCACAGUCCAAAACUUUCGGUUUUUUGGCAUCAGAGCAUGAAAAAAACCUGCAUGUCUAGUAUUCAUCUCUUCUCAUCCUCCCCUAUUACAGUGACUCUAUGUGUAUGUCUCUGUAUGGCAGAAAAUGAGGAAAUGCAGAUCAUUAUUCAAGAAGUUACCAACUAGCACUUUUCCUUCCCCUCCAGUCUUUCUGCCUCCCUAUCCUGGAAGUAUGGAGUCCCUGCCUCAGCCUACAGCUUCAUUCUUUUUCCAGCUGCCCACAAAAGCAAAGAACCAGUGUCAAAGGUUGAAGAAGAAAUCCACUCAGAGGACUGAGUCUCAAGCAAAAAGCUCCAGGUUGCAGACUCAGAAAGAAACUUCCUUUGGGGAAGGAUCUGCUUCCAGGAUUUGCUCGUCUCUUUUUCCUUGGGCAAACAGAGUUCUUGAAGCAAACAACAGGGUUGCAGGACACCUUCUAACCUUUAUACUGCAUCACAAGCCUUCAGCAGAAGAUCUUGAGAACCAUUUAUGUUGCUGGAAGAUGACUGGGUUUGGAUCUUGGCCUUCCUUAAGCAGGAUCUCCUGACAAAAAUUGGAUUGGGAAAGAAAUGACUUCUUUUUCCAUCACACAGAGAGAGCCUUUGAGCCACCAUAGAAAUGGAGGCCUAGACAGAAAAUUACUUCUAAUGCACUAGUCUCUAGGGAAUUUGUUUGGCCUCCCCAUGGUCCUUUUGUUAUAAUGUCAUGAAGAUUUUUUUUUAAUGAAACCUAAACCUAUCUUGCCAUCUGAAGAUCAAGUGAAUAAAUCUGAGUUUAAGAGUUCACAGUUCUAAUAAUCUGAACACACCUGGCCAUCCCCUGCAUUGGAAGUGCCAGGUGAAUCAGUGAAACAGGAUGCUUUUGUGCUUCAGACCGUCUCUGUAAAACUUUUUCUACUUGUAGUCCCUUUAGAUGAUUAUAAAGAAUAUCAAUAAAGCUUGUGAAUAUAAUACUUAAUUAGGCUUCCACCUCCCUUUUCAAGGUUUUUUUGUUUUGUUUUGUUUUUUGUUUUUGUUUUUUUAAAAAGGCACCCAAACUGUCAAAAUGGCAAUGUGGAAAGCAUUGCAUCUUUUGAGGUUUCUUGUGGUUUUGUGUAGAUAAGAGGUAUGUUGGGGGUGUUGAGGGCCACAAAAGUGGAAAAACUUUUUUUUUUUUUUUUUUUUUUUCUUCAAGAGUAAAAACUUCUUUGUUAGAAAGCAGAAGGCUGUAUUUUCCCCCCCCCCCCAAGGGAUUGUAUAGUCAAACUUAAUUAAAUGUGUUGCAAGAUCUGUAGAAUAAAAACCUUAUGUCUGGCAGUAGUGAACAAUGCACAUGCAUGCCCAUGUACUUUCAUUCUUUUCAAUGUAGGAAAUUACUUUUGAAGAAUGGGACUUACUUUUAAUGUUCAGAUUAGGAGAAGGAAAAGCUUUGUUCUGAAGCUGAGUGAGAAGGGGUGGCAGGAGGGUGAACUGGACCCUCUGGCAGUAAAGAACACUUUUAUUUUCGUGUUUUCUGCUUCUGGCAGUUGGAGUGAACUAGUCAGAUGCUUGUGCUUGAAUCCAAUUUAUUUCUUAAAUCAGUUACCACAAAACACUGUUUUUAACUAGUGCCUAUAUCUUUCAUUAGUUCACCAGCAUAUUUAAAUUGUUUAACAGGCUUAAUGUAGCCCUGAGGCUACCACUUCAUGGCAGUUGUGAUUUCUUAUUAUGCUGGAAUGCAUUGCAGUCUUAGUACAUUCUAAAAAUAAUUGUUCAGAUGGUGCUGUUUAAGUACAUACCUAUGUAGUGAGCCAUUUUCAUUGGACUUUCAGAAAUUGGGCUCUCUGUUGGAUGGCUUUAAUGUCUCCCUCCUCCCCUCCCCCUAAAGAUCAAACAAACAUCUUUGUCUCACUUCUUCUGUGGUUAUCGAGUAAAAUGCUAAACUUAAAACCUGCUAUUUUUAGAAAACUGAUAGUCAGAUGCUUGUUUUAAAAUAUGCAACCACAGUAACGCUUGUGAACUUUGAGACUCAGAGAAGUCAGUGUAACUCUAUUUGAUGUAUUAAAUUCAGUAUGGCUUUAAAAAAUGUGAAAAUAUGUAUGUGGUGACUUUACAAUUGAGUAGCUCUUUAUUAUAGGUACAGGUCUUUUGACAAACUGUGUGCUGAACAGGAGUGACCUAGAAGUUAUAAAGUUAAAGAUCUGUGAGUUGCAAAAAUAAAUACUAACGUGUGGCUUGAGGUCUGUGCCAGUAGUGCUUUUAGUUGAAGAAAAUACUUAUGUUUGUGUCUGACUUCUAGUCCAUGUUUUGUGCCUUUCUUAUUGGUAUACUUGCUUCAGCCACAGCUUUUGGUCAUUUUAUUCUGUAGAACAGGGUAAACUUAAGAAUAUUAAAUAAGAUAAAAUAACAGGGACACUGAGAAUUGCUUUUAAUGGUAUUGUCCCAGUUGCUGACUCUAGGGUAACCUAAAAUAACUUUACUGCUUCUCCUCCCCUCCGUAGUCACGAUUUUUAUAUACAAAAUUUUGACUGUUGCUUUUAUAAAGUCAAUAUUUUGAUACUUCUUGCGUAUCAGCAUUGUGCAGCAUAUUAUUAUCAUGCUCUGAGUCUUGCAGCUGGAAUCCUGGAUUCUUGAUAUGUUUUUAGAGAUGACUCUUGCCUUUUGUGUUAUUAAAUAUUAAUAAAGAAGUCUAAAACCA